rnacentral:rRNA from 1 species
GAUGAACGCUGGCGGCGUGCCUAAUACAUGCAAGUCGAGCGAACGGACGAGAAGCUUGCUUCUCUGAUGUUAGCGGCGGACGGGUGAGUAACACGUGGAUAACCUACCUAUAAGACUGGGAUCACUUCGGGAAACCGGAGCUAAUACCGGAUAAUAUUUUGAACCGCAUGGUUCAAAAGUGAAAGACGGUCUUGCUGUCACUUAUCGAUGGAUCCGCGCUGCAUUAGCUAGUUGGUACGGUAACGGCUUACCAAGGCAACGAUGCAUAGCCGAACUGAGAGGGGGAUCGGCGACAUGGGAGCUGAGACACGGUCCAGAGUCCUAAGGGAGGCAGCAGAAGGGAAUCGUCCGCAAUGGGCGAAAGCCUGACGGAGCAACGCCGCGUGAGUGAUGAAGGUCUUCGGAGCGUAAAACUCUGUUAUGAGGGAAGAACAUAUGUGUAAGGAACUGUGCACAGCGUGACGGUACCGAAUCAGAAAGCCACGGCUAACUACGUG